rnacentral:lncRNA from 1 species
AAGGAACCAAGACCAUUACAAUAUUAAGAAAGACAGGAGUUCCACUGCAAGGAGGGCUGAGGCUUAAUAACCAGGGAACUGAAGAAGAGAGGAAGGAAGAAGAGGGCAGCAGUGAUACCAAUCUGAAAGAAGAGCAGUCACAGGGACGAACUUGUGAAGAGGGGUCAGCAUGCUGGUCUUUAUCCUACCAACUGCCAGGAACCAAGGUUGAUAGCGGUGGCUAGCUCUGGCAUGAUCUUCAAAGGGUUGGAAGUAUAAUGUUUACACAUGUGGUAGAGCUGACCAGCCUGUGAUGAUUAUUAGAAUCAUUCAGUCCAAGAAUAAGAAAUGAGGGACCAAGAAGAAGGGAAAGGUUUUUCUUGGUCAAAGAACAUCACCUCUCUGGGGAACAAGCAGACAAGGACCAAACCAGGUGAACCUCCGCUACCAAGGGUUCACCAUAAUAGGGCUAAAUUGAAUGUGGACAUCGAAUUAGUGUUAAAACUAUUUCAGCGAGAAACUCCUGAAUUCAAGUAUCUACCAACCACAGCUUUCCCAGCCCUAAGGAUGACAGGUGUGUGCCAAAACCCAGCACUGAUGUUCUUGUCUAAUAAAAGAAGAAGUCCCUCAAUAUCAAUAUCAAUAACAAUAAAUGAAUUACUAUGA